GAGAAAGCUCUUGAGUAUUCGGUCAUUAGGAGGAGGAAAAUUGAAGGUAAGUUCUUAGUACCUUGCUUCUAUUUUGAGGUUCAUGAGUUCUUCUUGAUUCUACCUUAACUCUUGAAGUAUAUUUUGAUUUUUAGUUGUGUUGUGAGCAUUUAGUCAUGAAUUAAAAUGAAGGAAAUGGUUGUUGUUUCAUGUUCUUUUGAUGAAAAAUGAAAGAUAGGUGAAGUUGAGCCAAACAAAUGAG
rnacentral:lncRNA from 1 species